rnacentral:rRNA from 1 species
AAGCAGCUUGCUGCUUUGCUGACGAGUGGCGGACGGGUGAGUAAUGUCUGGGAAACUGCCUGAUGGAGGGGGAUAACUACUGGAAACGGUAGCUAAUACCGCAUAACGUCGCAAGACCAAAGAGGGGGACCUUCGGGCCUCUUGCCAUCGGAUGUGCCCAGAUGGGAUUAGCUUGUUGGUGGGGUAACGGCUCACCAAGGCGACGAUCCCUAGCUGGUCUGAGAGGAUGACCAGCCACACUGGAACUGAGACACGGUCCAGACUCCUACGGGAGGCAGCAGUGGGGAAUAUUGCACAAUGGGCGCAAGCCUGAUGCAGCCAUGCCGCGUGUAUGAAGAAGGCCUUCGGGUUGUAAAGUACUUUCAGCGGGGAGGAAGGGAGUAAAGUUAAUACCUUUGCUCAUUGACGUUACCCGCAGAAGAAGCACCGGCUAACUCCGUGCCAGCAGCCGCGGUAAUACGGAGGGUGCAAGCGUUAAUCGGAAUUACUGGGCGUAAAGCGCACGCAGGCGGUUUGUUAAGUCAGAUGUGAAAUCCCCGGGCUCAACCUGGGAACUGCAUCUGAUACUGGCAAGCUUGAGUCUCGUAGAGGGGGGUAGAAUUCCAGGUGUAGCGGUGAAAUGCGUAGAGAUCUGGAGGAAUACCGGUGGCGAAGGCGGCCCCCUGGACGAAGACUGACGCUCAGGUGCGAAAGCGUGGGGAGCAAACAGGAUUAGAUACCCUGGUAGUCCACGCCGUAAACGAUGUCGACUUGGAGGUUGUGCCCUUGAGGCGUGGCUUCCGGAGCUAACGCGUUAAGUCGACCGCCUGGGGAGUACGGCCGCAAGGUUAAAACUCAAAUGAAUUGACGGGGGCCCGCACAAGCGGUGGAGCAUGUGGUUUAAUUCGAUGCAACGCGAAGAACCUUACCUGGUCUUGACAUCCACRGAASUUUYCAGAGAUGAGAAUGUGCCUUCGGGAACYGUGAGACAGGUGCUGCAUGGCUGUCGUCAGCUCGUGUUGUGAAAUGUUGGGUUAAGUCCCGCAACGAGCAAUCGCUAGUAAUCGUGGAUCAGAAUGCCACGGUGAAUACGUUCCCGGGCCUUGUACACACCGCCCGUCACACCAUGGGAGUGGGUUGCAAAAGAAGUAGGUAGCUUAACCUUCGGGAGGGCGCUUACCACUUUGUGAUUCAUGACUGGGGUGAAGUCGUAACAAGGUAACCGUAGGGGAACCUGCGGUUGGAUCACCUCCUUACCUUAAAGAAGC